UCUCUCUCUCUCUCUCUGAAUAGUGAAUAGUUGAGGGGAAUGCUGUCUGGUUCGAAACCAUUCCUAGCUAUUAUUAUGUUAAUCAUAUAACACAAUUAUAAUUUGAAUGAUUUCGGACCAGGCUUCAUUCCCCUCAACUCAAACAAAUUAUAUUCCCAUCAUUUCUUAAUUAAUCAUCUCUAUACCCCUACUCCUCCUCCUCCUCCUGCUCAUCAUCAUCAUCAUCAUCAUGUAGUCAUGAGCUAUAUUUCCCUUCUCAAACUUACAGGUCAAUUAUUUCUUUAAUUUUCUCGUGAAUAUGGGUGUUUGAGAUGUGAUUCAAGAACGGCACUGAAUGCGAGUAUGGUUGAAUCAAGACUAGCAUCCAAUGGUGGCUACAAAAAUGUAUUAAGUUAAAUAUAUACAUAUAUUUUGCUUUUUCUCAAUAUUAAUGUAUAAGUUACAAUCAGAGCCUAAUUGAUGGAAAUCACAAUGAAAAAUAAAAGUUAAAUCCUUUGAAUUA